rnacentral:rRNA from 1 species
UGGGGAAUCUUGCGCAAUGGGCGCAAGCCUGAUGCAGCGACGCCGCGUGGGGGAUGAAGGUCUUCGGAUUGUAAACCCCUUUCGGGAGGGAAGAUGGAGCGAGCAAUCGUUCGGACGGUACCUCCAGAAGCAGCCACGGCCAACUUCGU